UACAGAGGUGGCAAGCGUUGUUCGGAAUUACUGGGCGUAAAGGGCGCGUAGGCGGUUCGUUAAGUCCUGUGUGAAAUCCCCCGGCUCAACUGGGGAACUGCACAGGAAACUAGCGGGCUUGAGUUCGGGAGAGGGAAGCGGAAUUCCGGGUGUAGCGGUGAAAUGCGUAGAUAUCCGGAGGAACACCGGUGGCGAAGGCGGCAUCCUGGACCAUUACUGACGCUGAGGAGCGAAAGCCAGGGGAGCAAACGGG
rnacentral:rRNA from 1 species